rnacentral:rRNA from 1 species
UACGAAGGGGGCUAGCGUUGUUCGGAUUUACUGGGCGUAGAGCGCACGUAGGCGGAUCGUUAAGUCGGGGGUGAAAUCCUGGAGCUCAACUCCAGAACUGCCUUCGAUACUGGCGAUCUCGAGUCCGGAAGAGGUGAGUGGAACUCCUAGUGUAGAGGUGGAAUUCGUAGAUAUUAGGAAGAACACCAGUGGCGAAGGCGACUCACUGGUCCGGUACUGACGCUGAGGUGCGAAAGCGUGGGGAGCAAACAGG